GACGAACGCUGGCGGCGCGCCUAACACAUGCAAGUCGAACGAGCGAGAGGAGGUUUACUUUCUCAAGCGAGUGGCGAACGGGUGAGUAACGCGUGAGGAACCUGCCUCAAAGAGGGGGACAACAGUUGGAAACGACUGCUAACACCGCAUAAGCCCACGACCCGGCAUCGGGUAGAGGGAAAAGGAGCAAUCCGCUUUGAGAUGGCCUCGCGUCCGAUUAGCUAGUUGGUGAGGUAAUGGCCCACCAAGGCGACGAUCGGUAGCCGGACUGAGAGGUUGAACGGCCACAUUGGGACUGAGACACGGCCCAGACUCCUACGGGAGGCAGCAGUGGGGAAUAUUGCACACUGGGGGAAACCCUGAUGCCGCGACGCCGCGUGGAGGAAGAAGGUCUUCGGAUUGUAAACUCCUGUUGUUGAGGAAGAUAAUGACGGUACUCAACAAGGAAGUGACGGCUAACUACGUG
rnacentral:rRNA from 1 species